AGUGAACGCUGGCGGUAGGCCUAACACAUGCAAGUCGAACGGCAGCACAGUAAGAGCUUGCUCUUACGGGUGGCGAGUGGCGGACGGGUGAGGAAUACAUCGGAAUCUACUCUUUCGUGGGGGAUAACGUAGGGAAACUUACGCUAAUACCGCAUACGACCUACGGGUGAAAGCAGGGGAUCUUCGGACCUUGCGCGAUUGAAUGAGCCGAUGUCGGAGUAGCUAGUUGGCGGGGUACAGGCCCACCAUGGCGACGAUCCGUAGCUGGUCUGAGAGGAUGAUCGCCGGCACUGGAGCUGGGACAGGGUCCAGACGCCUGAGGGAGGCAGCAGUCGGGAAUAUGAGGCAAUGGGGGCAAGCCUGAUCCAGCGGUACGGCGUGGGUGGAGGAGGCCUUCGGGUUGUGAUGCCCUUUUGUUGGGAGAGAAAAGCAGCAGGUUAUGACGCCGCGGUUCUGACGGUACCCAGAGAAGAAGCACCGGCUAACUUCGUG
rnacentral:rRNA from 1 species